rnacentral:lncRNA from 1 species
AGCAAAAGGCUAUAUUGGUCAUAUUUUGAAGAGGAGUCAAUUGAAGAUGAGAAAUGAUUCAAGAUACUGGAUCUGAAGAAAACAACAACAACAACAAAAAGAUUAACUUUGUGAGGGAGCAGUUUCAGUAAAGUAGUAGAAGUGAAAGUCAGAUUGCAAAAAACUGAGGAGUGAGAUUAUAAAGGCAGUAGUAAAUGCAAAACUAUUUGACACAGGAGUUUGUCAGUGAAGGAUAAGAAAGAGAGAGAAAAAUAGCUGGACUUGUUUUUUGAUUAGGAGAAGACCUGGACCUGUUAGUAUGCUAAGGGGAAGAAAUUAGUGGAUAUGAACAAGUAGAAAACAAAAUAAAGCAAACACUCACAAGAACCAAACAACUAUAUAAUAUGGACAACAUUAUGUUUUUUCAAUAUAACUUCAGAAGAAUGUUAAAAAUUGUUUCCCCAACUCCUUAUUGCUCC